rnacentral:lncRNA from 1 species
UAAUAUAUACGUCAAUGGUUUCAUAUAUUCUGUGACUGAGCCACCGUCAUUAGUGAUUACUCCACUUACGCGCCAUUACGCGUUUGAUCUUUGAAGACAUCAUUAUCGACGAGUCGCAAAAUAACUAUAGCACAAGACGUGAUAUUUUCGGCUGAGGUGUAUUCAUUUAAACAAAAGACUUUUAUCAACACAAAAAUUAUGAGAAGCGUUACAAAAAAAUUAGGAACUUAUUUCCAAAAAUCUGCAGGAUACAAACUGAUCAGGUCAUACAAAACUGAU